GAUGAACGCUGGCGGCGUGCCUAAUACAUGCAAGUAGAACGCUGAAGGAAGGAGCUUGCUCUUUCCGGAUGAGUUGCGAACGGGUGAGUAACGCGUAGGUAACCUGCCUGGUGGCGGGGGAUAACUAUUGGAAACGAUAGCUAAUACCGCAUAACAGUAGAUGUUGCAUGAUAUCUACUUAAAAGGUGCAAUUGCACCACUACCAGAUGGACCUGCGUUGUAUUAGCUAGUUGGUGAGGUAACGGCUCACCAAGGCGACGAUACAUAGCCGACCUGAGAGGGUGAUCGGCCACACUGGGACGGAGACACGGCCCAGACUCCUACGGGAGGCAGCAGUAGGGAAUCUUCGGCAAUGGACGGAAGUCUGACCGAGCAACGCCGCGUGAGUGAAGAAGGUUUUCGGAUCGUAAAGCUCUGUUGUAAGAGAAGAACGAGUGUGAGAGUGGAAAGUUCACACUGUGACGGUAUCUUACCAGAAAGGGACGGCUAACUACGUG
rnacentral:rRNA from 1 species